GACACUGGCUCUUUGGAUCAACGUGUUUCUUCUGCUUCCGCAAAGGACCGUGAGCAGAUACAUUCUAAGUCACACUAUGAUAUCUCAAUGUUGAACUCCAGAAAGUUCCCUAGAUUUGGAGUCAAAACUCAGCUCUCGAUAAGGAAACCAAGGCUCAGAGAAGUUAUGCUACUUCUCCAAGGUCACGAAGCUAGAUUCCUCUGUGGCAUCAAUAUGUGAAAAUAUGCACUGUGAUUCUGCAGGAAAGGGACGUAAUAUGCA